rnacentral:rRNA from 1 species
AACGUGGGAGACGAACGUUAUCCGGAGUUACUGGGCGUAAAGGGCGUGUAGGCGGUAUGCUAAGUCUGGCGUGAAAGCCCCCGGCUCAACUGGGGAGGGUCACGCGAUACUGAUCGACUCGAAGGCAGGAGAGGGUAGUGGAAUUCCCGGUGUAGUGGUGAAAUGCGUAGAUAUCGGGAGGAACACCAGUGGCGAAGGCGACUACCUGGCCUGUUCUUGACGCUGAGGCGCGAAAGCUAGGGGAGCAAACGGG